ACGUACACUCCUACGGGAGGCAGCAGUGAGGAAUAUUGGACAAUGGGUGGAAGCCUGAUCCAGCCAUCCCGCGUGCAAGAAGACGGCCCUAUGGGUUGUAAACUGCUUUUAUCUGGGGAUAAACCUACUUACGUGUAAGUAGCUGAAGGUACCAGAAGAAUAAGCACCGGCUAACUCCGUGCCAGCAGCCGCGGUAAUACGGAGGGUGCAAGCGUUAUCCGGAUUUAUUGGGUUUAAAGGGUCCGUAGGCGGACUGAUAAGUCAGUGGUGAAAUCCGACAGCUUAACUGUCGAACUGCCAUUGAUACUGUUAGUCUUGAGUAAGGUUGAAGUGGCUGGAAUAAGUAGUGUAGCGGUGAAAUGCAUAGAUAUUACUUAGAACACCAAUUGCGAAGGCAGGUCACUAAGUCUUAACUGACGCUGAUGGACGAAAGCGUGGGGAGCGAACAGGAUUAGAAACCCGAGUAGUCC
rnacentral:rRNA from 1 species